rnacentral:rRNA from 1 species
CCUACGGGGGGCUGCAGUGGGGAAUAUUGCACAAUGGGCGCAAGCCUGAUGCAGCCAUGCCGCGUGUGUGAAGAAGGCCUUCGGGUUGUAAAGCACUUUCAGCGGGGAGGAAGGCGGUGAGGUUAAUAACCUCAUCGAUUGACGUUACCCGCAGAAGAAGCACCGGCUAACUCCGUGCCAGCAGCCGCGGUAAUACGGAGGGUGCAAGCGUUAAUCGGAAUUACUGGGCGUAAAGCGCACGCAGGCGGUCUGUCAAGUCGGAUGUGAAAUCCCCGGGCUCAACCUGGGAACUGCAUUCGAAACUGGCAGGCUAGAGUCUUGUAGAGGGGGGUAGAAUUCCAGGUGUAGCGGUGAAAUGCGUAGAGAUCUGGAGGAAUACCGGUGGCGAAGGCGGCCCCCUGGACAAAGACUGACGCUCAUGUGCGAAAGCGUGGGGAGCAAACAGGAUUAGAUACCCGAGUAGUC